rnacentral:rRNA from 1 species
GGGGAAUAUUGCACAAUGGGCGCAAGCCUGAUGCAGCGACGCCGCGUGAGGGAUGACGGCCUUCGGGUUGUAAACCUCUUUCAGUAGGGAAGAAGCGAAAGUGACGGUACCUGCAGAAGAAGCGCCGGCUAACUACGUGCCAGCAGCCGCGGUAAUACGUAGGGCGCAAGCGUUAUCCGGAAUUAUUGGGCGUAAAGAGCUCGUAGGCGGUUUGUCGCGUCUGCCGUGAAAGUCCGGGGCUCAACUCCGGAUCUGCGGUGGGUACGGGCAGACUAGAGUGAUGUAGGGGAGACUGGAAUUCCUGGUGUAGCGGUGAAAUGCGCAGAUAUCAGGAGGAACACCGAUGGCGAAGGCAGGUCUCUGGGCAUUAACUGACGCUGAGGAGCGAAAGCAUGGGGAGCGAACAGGAUUAGAUACCCUGGUAGUCCAUGCCGUAAACGUUGGGCACUAGGUGUGGGGGACAUUCCACGUUUUCCGCGCCGUAGCUAACGCAUUAAGUGCCCCGCCUGGGGAGUACGGCCGCAAGGCUAAAACUCAAAGGAAUUGACGGGGGCCUGCACAAGCGGCGGAGCAUGCGGAUUAAUUCGAUGCAACGCGAAGAACCUUACCAAGGCUUGACAUGGGCCGGACCGGGCUGGAAACAGUCCUUCCCCUUUGGGGCCGGUUCACAGGUGGUGCAUGGUUGUCGUCGGCUCGUGUCGUGAGAUGUUGGGUUAAGUCCCGCAACGAGCGCAACCCUCGUUCCAUGUUGCCAGCGCGUAAUGGCGGGGACUCAUGGGAGACUGCCGGGGUCAACUCGGAGGAAGGUGGGGACGACGUCAAAUCAUCAUGCCCCUUAUGUCUUGGGCUUCACGCAUGCUACAAUGGCCGGUACAAAGGGUUGCGAUACUGUGAGGUGGAACUAAUCCCAAAAAGCCGGUCUCAGUUCGGAUUGGGGUCUGCAACUCGACCCCAUGAAGUCGGAGUCGCUAGUAAUCGCAGAUCAGCAACGCUGCGGUGAAUACGUUCCCGGGCCUUGUACACACCGCCA